UUUGCACAUUACAUUCAAUAGAUAAUAAUUUCAUAAAAAACAUUUGUAAUUGGUUUAGGAAAGGUGUCAUUAUACAUGUUGAACUGUGUUCUCUUUGCAUUUUCAGCAUCUUUUCCAGCAGGUGUCGCAAACAGUGAUUCAUUUUGUCAAGCAAUUAGUACAAUUGAUUCAAAGUUGCAAAAAGCUUUGUCUCCCCCAUCAUGAGCUUAUUUUUACUCUACUAAUGACAAUUUUUCCAAACUAAGUUGAAGCAGAAUGAAACACUGUGCCUCCACACAGCAGUGGUUUGUCAUUACUGAAUAAAUUAAUAUUGUUGAAUGAACUGGUUGAGUGAAUGAUUCAAUGAUUCACUCAUAAAGAAAAGCUGUUGACUGUUUAGUUGCCGAAUGAAUCUGCUGUUGUUGCACUAAUCGGUGAAUUGCAUAAUUCUCUCAAAAUUGAUAUCGGAGAGGCUUCUGAGGUAGCAUAACGGUCUAAUGAUCUGCAACAAAAUAGAGGGAAAUUUGUUGAUAACUAAGCAAAUAUUUAAUUACUACAAUACUUAUUUCUUGAUAGAAAUGAAAUAAAAGUUAAAAAAAGCUGUUCCGGAACAUACAUGUGUAAACAAACUGAUAACAAUCCGCAACUUUUAGAUGCCAUUUUAUUUUUUAGCUCAGCCGUCACGGAAUCGAAUGCACAGAGUGUGAUAUCAAAGGCAAUAAAGGAUACAUCUAUGCUAGCUUCAAAAAUCGAUCAGAUGAAGCAAUCUCAGUAGACAGGAUAUGACACGAUUAUUAUAAUUGAAUGGUUGGUUGUAAGAAACAUUUUUCAGCUUUCGCAUGCAGCCAGUGAUUAAUUCUUAAAGUUGCCUCUCCUGGUGUAAGGUUGCCCCCUGCGGAAACAGGGGCCGUUUACACAACACUGUUUUCAACAUAAAACAGAAAACUUUUUACAAAUUUUGCCACUUAAUUUACAUGACAAUGGCGUUUUGGGCAACCCAGUCUCAUUAGAAAAGCGUACCUGUGGGAACGUUUUCGCGAGUCGCAAAAUACGUACCAAUACAUACAUAUCGCUGCAGUUUCGAUGUGAAAUGUCCACUGAGUGGCGCUAAAAGCGUGUUCAUUUUUUUUUUUUUUUUGCUGGAACAGAUAAACGUGAAUAUGGUACGUUUUUAUGACGUUGGUUUUUAUACGAAUCACCGUAGUUCUGAUUUGACAUUUGCACUCCAUUGCGUUUUGAAAUAACGUACCACCAACACUACACCUAAACCUACCCGAUAGUGUUAACAAAAGCAAAUGUGACAUAAAAAGCAUCCGUCAUCGUGCCAUUUCAGCUUGUUUAGAUCUCUCUUUGAGCUCUCUUAUCGUGACUCGCCUUUCACGGAAUUCGUACCCAGGGUUCCUCGUCUUAAGUACAACUCCGUGUCAGCUGAGCUACCGAGCAAACUUGUUAUGUUAGAAAAGCGAAACAUAUGGAGCUGGUUAAGCGAUGCAAAGUCCAAAAUAUAUUCGUUUAUAAAUUGUGCACUGUGGUAAAAAAGCUUUUUUUAAGUCAUAACAUAAUAUUGUGCAAGGAAACGUGAAAACGAGUCUUUAUUAAUCCAUAAUCUGACCCCGUAAUUGCAACUGUGUAUGAAAACGAUCAAAAGUGCUUGCCGUUUUACUGCCUCUAGCGUUCAUUUCUGUUGGAAACUGCAGUGAUAUGUACGCAUUGGUACAUAUUUUGGCGACUCGCGAAAACGUUCCCAUAGGUACGUAUUUCCUAUGAGACCGGGUUGCUUUGGGGGGCCUGAAAAUGCAAACUUUUUGUUUUUGAAAAUAAUACCAUUAUCAUCUGCAUGUACAAAAGUACAAAAAUGUGCAUUUGUAUUACAUGUUCAGUCUAUAGGUGCAUAGUUUUUCUUUACAAAGUGACAUCGCCAACUACUGGCCUGGCAUGCAUAAUACAGCGUUUUUAAUAGUUUCCGCGGAUCCAUGUGAAUGGGGAUCAAUUUGACAGCGUUGUCGUCUGUACGUGAAAAACGCGAAGGAAAAACUUUUCUGUUUUUAGUACAUCGUUUUUGUGUAAACGUACCCUGAAAAUCUUUUGUCUGUCUGAAAUGUGCAAACACGGACAAGCGCAGUGAUAAAAGGGAGAAGUCCCAGUAGUAUUGGACUUUUAUAUUAGCACUCUUGAAACAUUGCUUAAGCGAGGAAAAAAAAAAAAAAAAAAAACGAGAACUGAUAUAUAGGCCUAUACUGUAUAUAGGAUGUCAUUUUGUAUGGACCCUCAUGUGUGUUGACAUUUGCUGAUUUUUGUAAUCAGGUAAUCAAAUCAGAUUAGAAAGCAACACAAUUUACCAAAAAUAAAAGGCAGGAAAUCUAAACCAGGAACACUUUGUUUUAUAGCAGCAUCAAUCAAAACAUCUCCUUAGUAGACAGUCCAACAAGUGUUCACAUCCUUUAAAAAAGCAGGUUUAUUAAUAGCACAUUUGAGUGUGUUUUAAAGUAAAGGGUCUUAAAGUAAAGUAUUUUGAGAUCCUCAGAGCCAGCUUAAUAUGACACCAAUAAACCACAAUGACAACAUCCAGAUGCUACAUUAGGGCUAUGCUAGCAGUUAAAAGUUCCUGUGUUUGCCGGGUUCUGUGAGUAUUUUGGGGUGUGUAAUGGCUUCCUCCCGCACACACUGCUGUAAUUGGCACGCUGUGAAAAUGAACGUCUGUGACCUUGAGUUAAGCAAGUGCUCUGUUAAUCUGCUGUCAGCUGACUACCUUCAAAAGCAGCUUAUCCUUUUGUUCCCUUGGCUCGACAGCCAUUAUUUUUAUCCUAACGCCAUCUGACAGUUUGACUGCGAUUGUCAGUGAGGGUCACUCUGCUUGUGUGUGAAUGGCAUAAACCUGGUUUGGAUCAGACAGGCAUACUGAAAAACAAAGCAUACUCUCACAUGGGCUCAGUUUAACAGAGGUCGCAGCCGAGAGAAGCAGAGAUCUGUCGGUUUGUUGUAAUGGAUCAUUUUCAGUCAUGGGAAACAGAAGCAAGUGACGCUUCUGUCACUGUUGUUGUUGAUGCCUGAAAAGCGAAGCAGGGGAAAUGCUAAUGCAGAGAGAGUCUUGAAGAAUGUGGUGUGUAAAAUUCAGCUAGCCACUUAUAAAAGGAAAUAUUAUUAAUCCUUACACCAGGGUUAAGGAUCUGAAAAAACCCUUAACUAUAAAUAUUAAACUUUGGUACAUAACUCAUCCAGCACAGUUUGUGUUACGCACAUAAAUUAUAUCAUAUGGCUUGGCUUGUUGAGGAAGGUUGUGAUAUUUCUUUUGUAAGUGAGUUUUUUGCCAAUAAAUCUAGCACCUAGCAACCAGAAAAUGUUAGCUACAUGCUAAAAACCACUCAAAACCCAUUAGCAACUAUAUAUCAACACCCUCAAAAUAAUUUUUGCAGUGAAGUACCACUUACUAUGGCAGUGUUUUAGUGCCAUGUAGUGUUGCAGUGGAGACAAGCUCAUUCAAGUCUGUUUCUGAGUUAAUGAUAAGACCAAAACCAUAGUCUUGGACCAAGACUCAAGAGUCCAAAAGAGUCCAUAUUUGUCAUGGGCGUAGGAGCAUGUGAACCCUUCUUUGGUUUUGGUCUUGAGUUGGACUCAAAGUAGCUGGUAAAUAGGCCUUUCACAAGAAUAAACUGAAAAUUUUGAGAGUAAAGUCAUAUUGCAAAAUUAAUGAAGUUAUAAACACGUAAUCCAAGAGGAAAGACAAUGUAAAACUUUACAUGUUGCAUUUAUAUUCUGGGCUCAUCAGCUUGACUGUUGAUAGUGUUUAUUAUCAAUAAGGUGUAUUUAGUCUUCCAUUUAUCACUGCACAAUGCCAGGUUCAACAUUUUAGAAGGAUGUCCCCUUUGAGGUUACUUUUAAAAUUUUAUUCUUAUAAUAUUACUACUUUAAUCUCGCAAAAUAACAACUUUAUUCUUUAGACCAACCCUGCUCCUGGAGGGCUACAGUUCCAACUUCAGUUCCAACCCCAGGCCCGAAGUGACCAUUGGGAGAAUCAGGAGAAUUCCUGGUGGGCUGCUCAUAAAGUGGGCCGCCCCAACCCUAAACCUACCCUAAAGGCCGGAACACACCAAGCCGACGGUUGGCCGUCGGGCAGUUUUUGUUCGUCGGCCGACUAAGUUUUCUCAGUGUGUUCUGCACCGUCGGCUGAAGUUGGUCCUCGUCUGCUUUUUUCAUUGGCGCUCGUCGGUCCGUCGGGCCAUCUGAUCAUUCUGAUUGGCUGUUCAGCUACUGCCACCUGCUGGUACGGAAAGGCAUUUCAUCUUGCGCAGGCGCAGAACGGACGUGCUACUUGGCCGUCGGGUGUCGGCCAAGUAGCUCUGUGAAGUGUUAUUGUUCAAUUUUAACAUAUUAAAACUGAACUUUGGACACAGACGCUGCCGACGUGAGCCAACCCCGCAGUCUGCUUUCGUCACCACUAGUUCGUCGGCGUCUGUUUGGUGUGUUCCGGCCUUAAAACAAUGCAAAUAUAGUGAUUUCUGAUAGGUAGCAUUAUUCGUCAAAACACCGGCACAGUAACACUUUGACAUAAAGGCAGUUUCACAUGGGACAUGGAAAGCGAAGUCUGUAGUUAAUUUUUAAUGAGAGACAAACAAAAUUGGCAAAUCGCAGGCGGUUCUAGUGGUGAAGAUGGUGUGUAAGCUGUGCUUGUGCACCCAAAAUCCCGUCACUUGCGCAUGCUCUUCGUAGCGGUUAUAGCCUAAAUAUUAUUAGCCAAUAUGGUAGGGGACACGUAGUGUUUCUUACAAAGUGACAUCGCCAACUACUGGCCUGGCAGCAUAAAACAGCAUUUUUAGUCAUUUUCGUAGAUCCGUGUGAACGGGGAUCGUUUUUGACAAUGUUGUUGUCUUUACGGUAACUGGAAAUCUGGUAACACUUUAUUUUGAUGGUCCCUUUUGAACAUUCUGUUGAUUAUAAGUAACUUGUCAACUAACUCUCAUUAGAGGAUUAGUAGGCUCAAUAUCUGCUAACUCUUUAUUGUAAUGGUCCCCCAACAGACAUUCUACUGACUAUAAGUAAAUUUGCAAGUACAUGUCAACUUAUUCUAACCCUAACCCUACCAGUCUACUGAUACUAACACUCUAAUAAUGAGAGUUAGUUGACAUGUAGGUGCUAUGUUACUUAUAAUCAACAGAAUGUGUUAAAGGGUACCAACAAAAUAAAGUGAAACCAGAAAACCUUUACAUUUUUAGAACAUUGUUGUCGUGUAAAUGUACCCGAAACUUUACAGAACGGUAAACUUCCAGGAACAGGGUUGGCUAUGGAUUUAUUUUCAAAAUUGAACUUAUUUUUUUAGUUUAAAGUGGUACAAAAAUGCCAUUGCAACACACUAUCUUAAUGAAAUGUAAAAAUCUACUUUGUAAAUGUAAACCAUUUUCCAUAUACACCAUCUAGGUUCAAGAAACCAGCUGAUUAUUGUGUCUCUGGAAGAACAUAACUCCCUCCAGGCUGUGUGGACAUGGUAACCACACGCAUGUUGUGGUUGAUGUUCCUAAGGAACCGACGUAUGGCUGUGAACUUUUCAUGACGAAUGUUGCUGUGUGGUUGCUAAGGUGUUCUGGAUGGCAAUUGCCAUGUAGUUGCCAGAUGGUUCGUUACUGGCCAAAGUCAACAGUCCCAAGACUCUCUGAUAUUCUGACCUCUUUAAAAUAAACCUACGGGAUAUUUCCACCAUGCAAAAACUGCGAUUCAAGUUAGAAAAGCUCAUUACAGGCUUCUCAGAGAGGUUUUCAACCCCUGCCCAAGGGUGACCCCAUCAGUGAAGGGAGUUUCUCUGCCCCAGGGUCACAAGAUCUCAGCCUGGCAUCAUGGCAGACUCUACAAACAUCCGUUGCUAUGUAUAAUCAAAAAACAUUACAGAAACAACUCCUCCUGAAAACCUAAAAUGAUUGUCUGUCAUAUCUUUUGCCUCAGAGCUCUUAAUGGAACAGUAAAUGUCAUCUUGUGAUAUUGUCUGUGAAAUAUAUGUGGAAAUUUAAGUUUAUAGUCUGAUAAUCUAACUGUUAGAAGAAAUCCAUUUAGCUACAGUAAAGCAAUAAAGUCUUUCACUAUUUGAAUCAAUUGGUCCUAACUGGUUCAUUGUAAAUGGUCUUGGCCCACCAUCAACAAUUUAUUUGAGCUUAUAAUUGUACAAAGUCAUGUAUCCACUGCAGGAACUUUCCCCAGGAACUAGGGACUUUGGGGUAGUACUCGGUGUGUGUUUCAGCUGCAGGGACCAGACCUUUAAAUGAAGUUCUGGGUAAAAAUUUCCCCUUCAGAAAGUCCCUGCUCACGAGGUAGUACUUUUUCAAAGUUCAGGAACUUUCGGAGGUGGGACUUGGCCGCUUAAAAUGUUGAUUGGUUGACUCCACGCAGCAUUUUAUUUCCACAGUAAGUGUGCAGUAAGAAUUGUUUGCUAUUCAAAUCAACAAUGGAGUUCUAAAAAAAAAAAUAUAUAUAUAUAUUCAACCAAUGCUGAGGUUCAGGCUUUAUUGAGCUUAUACGCAGAGGAUGAAAUCCAGCGGAAACUGGAAAGUUGCACGCAGUCCUACAUCACCGCCUAAUCUUUACAAUACUUCAGACCACAAUGGAAACUCAAACAGCAACAGGUCUGGGGGAAAAAAAGUUCCUGGUAAUUUUAGUGGAAACGUGGCUUAAGACAACACUUAUUGGUAUUGCUUGGAUUAGAUAGUCUUAUAUAACCUAAUGUGUUUAGUUUUACAGCAUCUACAACAUCAUAGUUUUCUUUUUUCUCAUGAACCUAGUGCAUAAUAUUAUAUGCACUUAUAUCAUUAAUAAGCAUGUGUGAUAGAGCUGUUGGUACUAGAUCAGUGACUAUAGGACAUGAAAUUUUACACAAACCUGCAGCUAGCCAUGAUCGGUGUGAACUAACAGAGGGAAACCCCUCUUCUGAAACAAAGAAUGUUUACAUAUUUUUGCCCAUAUAUAUAUAUAAAUACACUAAAAUUGAAAAAAAGAUGACAGUCAUACACUUGCUGGCCAUUUUAUUGAUGUUAUUUUACAGUGGAACCAAUGAUAACAGAAUGGAAACCAGCACUUAAAGGCAAAAUUAACAAAAAAAUAAAAAUAAAAAAUAAAGUGUUUUCUACAUGCUAUAUCUGAAACUAAUUCAAUCAUGCUCGUUUGGAAAAAAAAAAAGUUACUUUAAUAAAAACAUACAAUUAAAAUAAAAUUAAUGACUUACAAUAUACUUCACCAUUAACUUCAUUUUAAAUGUACCUUCCAUUGGUUUUCUUCCAUGCACAAUUUCUAACAAUAUAUUUAUUUUUAUUUAUAUAUAUAUAUAUAUA